CCCGCCUUCUAUCAUAAACUACACUUUAUGAGUUCAUUACUUCUCUGUAUCUUGAUUUUUAACAAAUAUUUACAGAUUUUCAAUCACGUUCCCCUAUCUGUCUCAUCUUUUACAAUUUGCUACAUAUGAAACCUUUCAACCAUCAAAUUAUUAGGUAUUCAUAAUUUUGUCAUUUGUUCUGAUUCUCAAUCAUGUUCCAUUUGGCAUUAAAUUCUUCCCCUUUCUUUUCCGCUGUUUCCUAUCUCAUACUUCAAAUCCGCUCUUCUCCCAUUCCAAUUCUGGUUACACAACCCAGAACAUAUUUUAAAGAAUUUUUACUAGUGAAUUUUCUAUUUGCAGAGGAACAUAUAGAAGAAACCAAGUCAAGUAACAACGAGACCAGCGAAGCCUACUAGCGGAAGUUCAAUGCUCAAAUAACAAUCACGAAAACAUUAAAUAGUACCUAGCAUAGUCAUAACUCAUACAAAUUAUAAAGAAGACGAUAAUGG